GAAAAAAAACAUUCUUAACACCAGAUGAACUGAAUAGAUAUAAUAUGCAGUAUCCGAUGAGGAGGUGGAAAUCCUAGUCAGAUUCCACCUCGACUGUCCUCCAUCGAGCAUUUUGACAUCACGAGUAUUUUUAGUUUUACGAUAUGUAACGUUGCAGGAACGAGUAUUGAAGUUUUCAUAAAGAUCACAGUAAUUUUGGCGAUUUUAAUUGGAGAGUUAGAGGAAAAGCAGUAUAUGACUUUGAUGAUUCUCGUUGUAAAUCUGGAUUUUCAUCAUUCGGUAAGAUAUCUUUGUUUUGUACUAUAAUAUUGAUAUGUAUA